CCUACGGGAGGCAGCAGUGAGGAAUAUUGGUCAAUGGACGAAAGUCUGAACCAGCCAAGUAGCGUGAAGGAUGACUGCCCUAUGGGUUGUAAACUUCUUUUAUAAAGGAAUAAAACGAGGCACGUGUGCCUUUUUGCAUGUACUUUAUGAAUAAGGAUCGGCUAACUCCGUGCCAGCAGCCGCGGUAAUACGGAGGAUCCGGGCGUUAUCCGGAUUUAUUGGGUUUAAAGGGAGCGUAGAUGGGUUGUUAAGUCAGUUGUGAAAGUUUGCGGCGCAACCGUAAAAUUGCAAUUGAUACUGGCAGUCUUGAGUACAGUUGAGGUAGGCGGAAUUCGUGGUGUAGCGGUGAAAUGCUUAGAUAUCACGAAGAACCCCGAUUGCGAAGGCAGCUUACUAAACUGUGACUGACAUUGAUGCUCGAAAGUGUGGGUAGCAAACAGGAUUAGAUACCCUUGUAGUC
rnacentral:rRNA from 1 species